CUCAUCAGACAGAGCGAAACCUCAAUAUACUGGAGUCCCUGUGAAUCUGAUGAGUAGACAAAAUUUGCUAAAAAGAAGAGAAGGCUUCAAAUCAUUUGACAGUACAAGACACAAUUGAAGGAACUAGAUGUUUUGUUCUGAGAAACUGGAACUCUCAGCAACGGCACACUCUUCAGUCAGUCUGACCCACUCACGAAUGCUGACAUGCUGUAACUCACGGGUCAUACACAAAGGACACGCAAUAGCAGUGUCUUCCUGUCUCUUACCAAGUUUCCACAGGACAACUCCGGGUUGGUUGGAGCUAAGCACACACACGCAGUGGGUUGUUUGAUUAGAGAGGAAUCUUAACGUUGGGAAAUACCAGUCUUUUAUAAUGGGCUUCAAGCAGCGCUGCUCAGUCAUUUUCCUAGGAGGAUCAGAUACCAUCUCAACACAGACCUCUUCACAAAGAAAAGCACCUUGCCCUUUGCCGGAAAACAUUAAGAAACACGAGAGGCCUGUGGAGAGUGGCUUUCAGUAGUAACUGCAAUCUUCAGAGCAGUCACGCGAAAGCAUAAUAGGAAUCGCCAUCAGUCAUUGCAGAUGCAAAACAAGAUCCAGAGAUGAGAAGUGCAGGGAGAGGCAUGCUGGCUGAUAAGGGCGUGCUUUAUACAAAGCAGAGGGAGAGAGGUCGUAAGGGAUGCCUUGUGAAGUUAGGUGAGGUCAGGAUGAAGCCUGCCUGUCCUUUGUCACCAGUUAUUAAGGAAAGCAGUGCAUGUAACAGAGAAAUUGAAUAGUUCCACAGGCUUCUUCCUGCACUGGGAUUAGCAGAGGGGAGAAGAGAACAAAGUACCAUAGUACCCUCCAUGUUGAAGAAGGACCCCCCCCCCCCCAUGGAAGCGUAAGACCCCAGAUAUCCUGAAUCCUCCAGAUACUGAAGUUUUCCCUCUGUUUCUAUGUCUGUGAUAAAGCCUUCCAUUAAAGGCUCAACAACGACAGAAUAACUCUAACAACGUGUGACUUUUUAAAAAAUGAUGUGAAUGUUAUCUCUCAGUUUAUUCCUGGAAUUUUCCAUUUAAUAUUUUCAAACUGUAGCUGAUCUCUAGCCACUCCACGGCUGAGAGCAAGCUUCAGCUGAGAUGGCAGGGGAGGGAGCGCUGUAGCAAAGAAGAAAGGCAGCAGAGAAAAGGGAUAAAUUCUGCUUUCAAAGGGCCAGCUACUUCUCGGAUGGCAAGUCUUCUGAGCCUCUGGAUCCCCAGAGCACACAGGUUUCCCUUUGAUGACCCAAGGACAGGGCAGUAUCCAGUCUCUGUGAACACCGUUGCAGGCUUCCUUGUCCGCCGUGCCCCUUCAGCUAAGAAAAACAUCUCAGAAGUCUGGUUGGAUUAAAGGAAGCUCGAAGCCUCUCCCUAGAUUGAUGAGCCUGUAUUUUGAGAACAAAUCUUUGCUAAAAGACCUCUUGCAAUCUAACUGGAAACAAUUCUGACAUAUAAGCAGAAACUUCAGGAUAUUUAAAAAUAAUCCAUCAGCUCAGGGACUUCUUUUUUUUUUCCCAAAACAAGUAUUUCCGUGCUGCAGAAAGAGACUAAAAUUACAACCUUUGGGACAGUCAGCAAAUGGUUAUCUCCAGCCCUGGAAUUAUUAGCUGGUCCCUUUGUUCAGCUUGUGAUGGACGACAUACAGACAAAAUGAUGUGAUACUAAGAGGUGAAGACUGACAGAAUCAGAUGUGUGAGCAAAAGUGAAGGAAGGAAACAGGAGAUAAGGAUGUAUUUUAUGUCCUAUGCUUACGGUCCUGCCAUAUGACCCAUUCCUCUGACUCUUGGUGUGUAAAGUGAGACACCCAGCAUGGGCAACAACCCCUUUCUUUGUAGUUCUGGGAUCUGCCAAGAACCCAUGAAACUUUGCUUCCCUCAGAACAAGAAUAAGCUGGAUAUCCUGGGGUUGACAACAGGGCUUGGGAGAGAAGGGGUAUUGCCCUUGAAAAUGCUCUAAAUGAGAGUUCUCUUUCUCUAGGCAAUGUGUUUAUAGAACCAUCAGUCUGGAUACUGGGAAAGCCUGUGGGGGGAUCUUAGAGGACUUUGUGGGCCUUUAGGAUGUGGCAUGAGUAUCCAUUUAAAUCAGGAAUCUGGAACACCUUUCUCCACGACAAUAAAUCCAGCAGAGCACUCUAAUACUAAAGCAAACAUGCAAACAACAGUAAAAAGCUCCUUGGAAAGGGACUCAGGAUAGCUGGGUCCUGGAUCUUCCAGCCAAAGCCAACUGUAGAAGAGGAAGGACUGCUGUCUGUAGAGUGGACGUUUGCCUGGAAAUUUCAUUUCUCUUUUCUCAGAAACAAGAUGUCCAGAUGAAGCUUAGGGGAUUAUUUUUUGUUUCAGGCCAAUAAUCCCUUCAGGCACAGGCCAGUUUGACCCUGGAUUGUGUGUGCUCAGUGCUUUGAGCACCAUUUCUGGGAAGCUCAUUAUAAAUCAAUAAAUAAGACAUCCACUUCAGACUUCAUCCAGUGCUUUGGGGCUUAAAGUUCUUCUCAAAAGUAUUCAGGUUUCUAUAUUUUUACACACCAAUUCUGAGAAUGGAUGCCUUGAAACUGCAAGGCUCAUGUUUUAAUUUUUGUUUGGUGAUUUUUUUUUUCAGCAUAGCAAAUGCAUCAAUGUACUUAUAGUCUGAAUCCGUUUGCAUAUCACACUGUGCAUCAAGGACAAUAAAAAGGGGACUUGAAUAGAUUUAUUUUUUCUACGUAUUCAAGUAUCUGCAGGAUCUGGAAUCUGCCUCCUGAAAUUGUAUAUCUUACCUCCACUUUAACCCUCGAAAACAGAAUUACUCGUGCUUAUAAAUCUAACAACAAGGAGUUGAGUUCAUCUCCUCCACACUUCAAGUUGAACAUGUUUUGUGCCUGUUUAUACUUUAAGAGGUUUCUUGCCGGAAGAAAUGUUGAUGUAAAAACUUGGGGGUGUCUUGAAGGACAUAAAGCAGGGACUUGUAAUUUAGAGCUCAGACUACAAAUGACAUCACUAUGUUUUUCUGAAUCAAAGAGCAGAUCUAGAGUGAGUGACCUUGGUAAAGAUAUUUUUUUCCCAUCCGGAGAUGCAGAUCUACGUGAUAAAGGUCAGCUGAACUCAUUAUAAAUAUCUUGUAAGAUAGGCAGUGCUCCCCCCCCCCCCCCCACGAUCCUGCAAGGAGAAAGGCAGGAGAGGGAGGGCUUACCUGACAUUUUGAAAAUGUGCUUCUCACCCCAAGGAGCCAAGAGUAAUUAUGAGUGAGCAUGUCUCAGAGGGGAUCAAUUUACUCUGAAGAGCCCAAAGCUUUCUUUGUAUCACUUGUUAUGGUAUUCUUGCUCUGAACAGAGGAUGGUGGUGGGGACACAGUGAAGGGGGGAGAAUUAAAAAGUUAUAAUCUGGGAGAAUAGUGUGGAGAAGAAAGGGAGAAAGGCUAAAACAGGCCUGGGGAGCCCCAGUGAGCUUACAGCCAAUGUCUGGGCUUAAAGACAUCAAAGAGGAUGGAUGAAUAUUUCUCUCUCUUUCCCUUAUAGAAACUUAAUUUGAGGUUGCCCCAAGGAAGGGGGCAGAAGCUGGAACUACUACCAAGGUUCCUUGUGGCAUUUCCUUCCCAUGGAUCUACAGUGACUCCCACUAUCACCAGGGUGCCCAGCUCCACGUCUGUCCUUCAUGGGGACAGCAACCUCUCUCCACUGUCUACUCCAACCAGGCUCUCCCAACCCAAACAUUCCCGCUCACACCAUCAUCUCCUUAUUCCCCAGCCUGCUCUCCUCCCCUUGGAUACAUCAAUGACACCCCUGUCCUCAAAGGUCAGGUUCUAGAUUCUGUCAUGAUAAUAACAUACUGCAUAAAGCUUUGUACCACAAGCUCAGAUAUGGAUUACUACAUGGGAACAAGGGGCAUUGUCUUCACUGAUGGUUUCAGAUCACAUCAGUCAUUCUCCAUGUUUUAUCUUCUGGAUCGUUGCUCCUCAACUCACAUCUAUAGAAUCAAGCCUGAGGAUGGAAGACCAUGGUAUAUUCCGAGGAGAAACUGAGGAGCUAGGAGAAUCUCAGGUGGGAUUCUGAGAGUUACUCUUUGUUUAUUUAUUUAGGAGAGGGUAUCGUGGAGUCCAGGCUGGCCUCACACUUACCAUGUACCUGAGACUGCUAUUUCUUUGUAUAUUCUUCCAUAUUGUUUGACAGAUUCUUAUCAUGGUCUUAUGGGACCUUUAUAAUGGAAAUCAGACUAUAUAUUAAGCUCCACAGAUGAUUCUGAGGUGACCUUUCAGCCAUGGGUCACAGACAUCUUCCACUUAACUAUCUCUCCAGCCUUGUGACAUCUUCAUGCUUGCAUAUUGAGAGUAUUCUUCUCCCUCCCUUGUACCCGUGCUCCCAUUCCUUUUUCCUACAUCCCCCUAUAGAACAGGCUACAUCUGUACUGGACAGUCCAUAUUCACCUUUCCUAAUCCCCCUAUAGAACAGGCUACAUCUGUACUGGACAGUCCAUAUGCACCUUUCCUACAUCCCCCUAUAGAACAGGCUACAUCUGUACUGGACAGUCCAUAUGCACCUUUCCUACAUCCCCCUAUAGAACAGGUUACAUCUGUGCUGGACAGUCCAUAUGCACCUUACCUACAUCCCCCUAUAGAACAGGUUACAUCUAUGCUGGACAGUCCAUAUGCACCUUUCCUACAUCCCCCUAUAGAACAGGUUAAAUCUAUGCUGGACAGUCCAGAGGCCCCUUUCAUGAAAGGGGAGGGAAUGUGAUGACCUCCCCUGCUCUCUUUUGUCUUUUGGGAAAAUGUUACCCAUUCAGUACCCCAUAUCAUUACUAUCACUUUAUCUCAGUAAAAUAAGAGGACAUAUUACUGCAUCUUGAGAUUUUUUUUAUUUGGUAACUAUGUGCACAUAAAAA
rnacentral:lncRNA from 1 species